CCCAUCCCCCCACCACCACCACCCCGCCUCCUGAUACCAAGAGCACUCUGUUAAGGGUCAGAGAAGAUGAAUCAUUUACAGUUUGUGAGGCAAGACGGUGGCCAACUCCCAAGCAUCUGGACCCAUCCGAAGAUACGAAGCAGACGAAAGAAUGAACGGACAUACUGAGAAAAGAGGCUUGGAAACGCACGGUGGGCGUCCGUCUAGGCUGCCACUCACUGAAUAUCCACAGGGACACCUCACUCCAGGUGCAGGGUCCAGGAAGACUUCAGAUUGCUGCGACUCAGCAGCCUAGGGUCAUGAGGUGUUUUAACAGCCUGCUGUAUACAUGUCUCCGAGGUGAAGGCUGGGUCCCCAGUGAAGACUGGACUACGACAAACCACGAAGAGGGUGCUGCAGAUGGCCAAGGACAUGACCGCUCCAUAACACCAACUUCUGCAAGUGGGGUGGGGGAUGGGAAACAGCGGCAGAUGCACAAGGGCAAAGGUGAUGUGAGGAGGGAACCCCCAGAAACCCUAGGGAAACCACCGGAAUUUCCUUUGGAUGUGGGAAGGGGCUCAAACAACGUUUAAUUUUUAAAUUUAA